GUGGGGAAUAUUGCACAAUGGGCGAAAGCCUGAUGCAGCAACGCCGCGUGAGGGAUGACGGCCUUCGGGUUGUAAACCUCUUUUAGUAGGGAAGAAGCGAAAGUGACGGUACCUGCAGAAAAAGCACCGGCUAACUACGUGCCAGCAGCCGCGGUAAUACGUAGGGUGCAAGCGUUGUCCGGAAUUAUUGGGCGUAAAGAGCUCGUAGGCGGUUUGUCGCGUCUGCUGUGAAAACUGGGGGCUCAACCCCCAGCCUGCAGUGGGUACGGGCAGACUAGAGUGCGGUAGGGGAGAUUGGAAUUCCUGGUGUAGCGGUGGAAUGCGCAGAUAUCAGGAGGAACACCGAUGGCGAAGGCAGAUCUCUGGGCCGUAACUGACGCUGAGGAGCGAAAGCAUGGGGAGCGAACAGGAUUAGAUACCCUUGUAGUCC
rnacentral:rRNA from 1 species